GGGAAGUUGGCUCAGUGGUAGAGUGCUUGCUUCACAUGCAUGAAGCCCUGGGUUCAAUUCCUCAGAACCA
rnacentral:tRNA from 1 species